UGCCAUUAACUGUCAGAAACUUUGGAAGUCUAGCAAAAUGUUCCUGAAUGAUUCUUUACAAAUGUCUCUUGUCUGUUUCUUUCCAUUUCCCAUUCCCACCAUUCCUCUAAAUAUUCCCAAUUCUCUUCUCAUUUCUCCUUUUCAGGGGCAAACCCAUGAGGAACACCACCUUCAUGCCUGUCCCCACAAUGUGACUGCUACCAAAGAAUCUAAGAGAAAAGAUAUAGUCUGGACACCAACUGACUACUUAAACAGAAGGAGUGCUACUGUGGGACAGAAGUUUAUAAGAUUGCACUUAUACCAAGAAAGAUUAGUUCUUCAUGUGGAUUUGGGCAUUCUACAGACUUGAGUAUAAGAUACAAUUGGGCUUCUUCGCUGCAUGUCCUUAGUUUCCAGGUAUGUUCUAAGAAGCUGAAGUCAAUGGAAGUCAAACAAUCAAACCUAUACUGAAAAAUUUCUUUGGAGUUUUGUCAUACUGUAUUUGUAAACUCUUUGGGGGUUUUUGAUUUAUAUGAUUAUGACUUUAAAAAAGCCAUUGGAACUAACCUCUCUUGAAAUUUGCUGAUUCUUUCUUUUGCCAGCUCCUACCUGCUAUUGAUCCUUUCGAGUAGUUUUUAUUUUAGCCAUUACUUUCCGAUUCUAGUUUUUCUAUUUUUUAAAAAAUGUGUAUCUCAUUUUCUAUUUGGUGAGACCUUAUAUUUCUGUUUUUUAGACAUAGUUUCCUUUAGGUCCUUGAACAUAUUUAAAAUAGUUAAUUCAGUGUGUUUGUCUAUUAAGACCAACAUCUAGGCUUCCUUAGGGGCAAUUUGUAUUAACUUCCUGUGUAUGGGACAUACUUCACUGUUUCGUUGCAUGCCUAAUGAUUUUCUGUUGAAAACUGGACAUCAUUAAUAGAUGCCUUUGUUCUAGAAAUCAGAUCCCUCCUUCAUUAGUUUUGCUAUUUGUUUGUCCUGAACUAACUUUACACAAUUGCUCCUGAUUGUUUUAGUAAAUACCCCCAAAGAAAGGAUUCUUCUCACUGACAAGUUCUGAGUCAGGUCAAAUAAAUGCCAGUCCUGUCAGUAAUGGUUUUCA
rnacentral:lncRNA from 1 species